CGCGAAGAACCUUUACCAGGUCUUGACAUCCCGAUGCUAUUUCUAGAGAUAGAAAGGUUUACUUCGGUUACGAUCCGGUUGGACAGGUGGUGCAUGGUUGUCGUCAGCUCGUGUCGUGUAGAUGUUGGGUUAAGUCCCGCAACGAGCGCAACCCCUAUUGUUAGUUGCCAUCAUUCAGUUGGGCACUCUAGCGAGACUGCCGGUAAUAAACCGGAGGAAGUGGGGAUGACGUCAAAUCAUCAUGCCCCUUAUGACCUGGGCUACACACGUGCUACAAUGGUUGGUACAACGAGUUGCGAGUCGGUGACGGCGAGCUAAUCUCUUAAAGCCAAUCUCAGUUCGGAUUGUAGGCUGCAACUCGCCUACAUGAAGUCGGAAUCGCUAGUAAUCGCGGAUCAGCACGCCCGCGGUCCGAAUACGUUCCGGGCCUU
rnacentral:rRNA from 1 species